rnacentral:rRNA from 1 species
UACGUAGGGUGCAAGCGUUGUCCGGAAUUAUUGGGCGUAAAGAGCUCGUAGGCGGUCUGUCGCGUCGCUGUGAAAUCCCGGAGCUCAACUCCGGGUCUGCAGUCGAUACGGGCAAACUGGAGUACUGCAGGGGAGACUGGAAUUCCUGGUGUAGCGGUGAAAUGCGCAGAUAUCAGGAGGAACACCGGUGGCGAAGGCGGGUCUCUGGGCAUUAAACUGACGCU